rnacentral:piRNA from 1 species
UGAAAUGGUAUAGCAAGGCUUUGUUUUG